rnacentral:rRNA from 1 species
CCUCUUCUUGUUUAAAAUAUGAAGUAUAACCUGCCCACUGAUUAAAAUUUUGAAGGGCCGCGGUAUUUUGACCGUGCAAAGGUAGCAUAAUCAUUAGUUCUUUAAUUGUGGACUGGAAUGAAUGGUUGGACGAAGAAUAGACUGUUUCUUAUUAUUUUAUUAUUGAAUUUAAUUUUUAAGUUAAAAAGCUUAAAUGUAUUUAUGGGACGAGAAGACCCUAUAGAGUUUAUAUAUAUUUAUUAAUUGAUUUUGUUUGAUUAUUUAUUUAUUAUUUAAUAUAUUUUGUUGGGGUGAUUGGAAGAAUUAAUUAACUCUUUUUUUUAUUAUACAUUUAUUUAUGAAUAGUUGAUCCAUUUUUGUUGAUUAUAAGAUUAAAUUACCUUAGGGAUAACAGCGUAAUCUUUUUUGAGAGUUCUUAUCGAUAAAUUGGUUUGCGACCUCGAUGUUGGAUUAAGGUUUAAUUUGGGUGUAGAAUUUCAAUUUGUUUAGGUCUGUUCGACCUUUAAAAUCUUACA